CUACGGGGUGCAGCAGUGGGGAAUAUUGGACAAUGGGGGAAACCCUGAUCCAGCCAUACCGCGUGUGUGAAGAAGGCCUGAGGGCUGUAAAGCACUUUCAAUUGGGAGGAAGGUCAGUAAGUUAAUACCUUGCUAGCUUGACGUUACCUUUAGAAGAAGCACCGGCUAACUCUGUGCCAGCAGCCGCGGUAAUACAGAGGGUGCAAGCGUUAUUCGGAAUUACUGGGCGUAAAGCGCGCGUAGGCGGAUUGGUAAGUCAGUUGUGAAAGCCCUGGGCUCAACCUAGGAAUUGCUUCUGAUACUGCUAGUCUAGAGUCUGAUAGAGGGAAGGGGAAUUCCAGGUGUAGCAGUGAAAUGCGUAGAUAUCUGGAGGAACAUCAGUGGCGAAGGCGCCUUCCUGGAUCAAGACUGACGCUGAGGUGCGAAAGCGUGGGUAGCGAACAGGAUUAGAUACCCGCGUAGUC
rnacentral:rRNA from 1 species